GGUGGGACCCACCUCAGUGGGAAACAGGCCCAGUUGCUGGCUGCAAUCUGCAAUCAGAGGUCAAGUUCGUUUUCCUGAAUCGUCUGACCCCAGGGAAGAUGCAGGUUACUCUUGCUGUUUGCUUUCCUUCACCCUGCAGCAAUGGCAGCCCUGAGCACUGCAGUCAGGCUCUACAAAGGAGGAGGAAUGUGCAUGCCUCUUUCAAAAGUUCCAUCAGCAGGAGAGCUCUUUUCCAAAGCAGCCCAAGGACAGGCAGUGUGGAGUCACAGUGACCUCCGCCGGCCAGUCCUGCCUUGGUGCAGAUCUGACAGCUUUUCCUGGUGCAGAAGAAUGCUUGCUCUCCUUGCUCUGAUCUCCUGCUUGCACAGAUGGACAACUUGCUGCUCUUGCACUCCUUGCACACGGGGCCAGGUGAAGUCAUUGAGGUGAGUAACCGCAGCUUCCAACCUGAGGAUACUUAGCGUUUUCCUGUUCUGCUGAAUUGCAGUAUUGUUUCCCUGCAUCCUUUUGCUCACUGUUACAAAUCCAGAGUGACCCAAACUGAACUGAGGUCUAUUCCAACUUGAUAUUCUUAUCUUCGAUGAGAAAUAGGGAUCAGGGUGGUCCUGUGCUCUGAUGCCACUGGGUGAGGAUGUAUGAUGUACCUGGGCAGAUAUUAGCUGGUACUGGUCAGAAGGGUUCAUUCUAAGUUAUCAAGUUUUAUUGCAGGCACUUGUAGGAGAUGUUUUGAAGUAGUGCCACCAACACUCAAUAAUAUAAGCUGCACACAUCUUAUGCUCAUAUCAUCCUCAGAUUUCAUGGCUGUGUUGACUUGAAUUUAUUUCAUAGAGGAUUUUACUGAAAAUCAUGUGUUUUGUCUUAUAAAAUCUGCUGUACAACACAGUUUUCCAUAUCAUUUUCUUACACUGUGAAUUCUCAAGUCAGUCUGGAGUAAGUAAAGCCUCUUGGAAAAAAAAAAAAAGUGUUGUAAAGAGCAUUUACAAACACAUUCCAUGGUGGAAGGUGAUAAUCUCUAUGUAUAAGCUCACUUUCAUAUUUUGUGCCAAUUUAUCAAAUAGAUAAAAUCAUUGCUUUCACAAAUAAUAGAAUUAUUUUUCCACAAGAAAAUAACAUCUUGGCAUUUUCUUCUUGAAUUCUCCCUCAUUUUAACAGUGCAUCAGGUGCUAAUAAAGCCAUAUAAACACGAGUGAAUGAGUUUUAGUUGCAGGCCUGUUUUUUCCACUGAUUAGCAAUAAAAACAAGACGUCUUAUUUCCCACCAUGGCAUAUUUAUAUCUGACAAGUUGUAUCCAGAAGUUUUAAACCUGAGUGGUAUUUACUUUAAACACUGUAAGCAAGCAGUACGUGUUUCCAUUCCUCUCUUCGAAGCUCGUGUGGAAUCCAUAUAUGCCCUCUGAUUGCUGUUUUAUGGUGUGUGGGGGUUUUGUUUGUUUGUUUGUUUGUUUUUUGUGGUUUUGUUUUUUUUCUUUUCCCAUUUGCAUCAUCUGGAGAACUGGAAAGAAUCCAAAGGUUGCUGAUGUGUCAGAAAAAUAUCAUUUUUUAGUCAAAUUCCACUCACUGCUAUCAGGAGAACAGACAUUUCCAUUCUGUCUGCAGCCUGGAGUCAGUUUUAUUUUGUGUGCUCUAAUGUGUUUCAGACUAACCAAAUUUUUUUGUUGGGUUGCUGUUUUGUUGGUUUUUUUUGGCAGGGUGGAUGUUGGCUUAUUGGUUAUGAGAGCCUGAACAACCACUGCAGUGGAAAUAAAAAGUCCUGACACUAGAGCAGUGGAAAUAACAAUGUUGGUUUCUUCCACUAAGUGGAAAUAACAUGCUUUGUUCCACCAAUGUGAGGUACAGAAUACCUGAUGUGAGUUGGUGUAUAACAAUUUGUAUUUGUCUGGGACAAUGUCUCAGUGUUGCUACACCGUUCCAGAGCAAAACUGCCAAAAAUGGUUGGUUACGAGGUCACUGAUAACGGGCCAGAUUCUCAGAGCUGAUGUAAAUCAGAAAAGCAAAGAGCUACAAUGAUUCCUACCACCCGAGGACGUGACCUGAAAUGUUUCUUUCAGUGGCUAGCUGAAAAGCAGCUCUUGGGUACCGUACCCCAAUAUCCGCAUGUGUGAAAGUCUUCUAAGAGAAUAUCUCUAGACUCCAAUAAUUCCAUAUCUAAUGAGUGAAAGGUGCUCGCAAUAAUUGAUGGCAUACAAUUCACAGCAAGAAAUGGUGGCCCUGGUUUCAUAAAUCAUGCAACUUGCUGAACUCAGUAGAAUUGUAUAUUUUUAAGGUAAGCCUUCAUAGAGUUUGAAUUUAAAAAGGGAAUCACUCAGAGAGAAGUAAUAAAAUGCUAGAAGGGGCCAGACAACUGUUUCUCCUGUUGGCUUCUUUACAGUGCUACACAGUCAAAGGUAGGCCUAAAAGGAACCAAAUUCUUCUAGGAAGUGAUUGUAACAGUAUUUUAUUUUCUCUGUCUUAAAGGAUGUAAGCAAUAUCCUUAGUUAAAAUGUAAUCUGAGUUGUAGAAGGAUCCUACAAGUGUAUUUCCAUUAUUGUUUCAAAACCACUGGAUGAAAUUCGGCAGAUAAAGAAGUAAAGCUGUUUAGUUCAGUGAAACUGAAGCAGGAUGGUCCAAGCCUGAGAGAAGCUGAACAGGUAGAUAAUGCAUUUUUCAAACAUGAGUCAGCUUUUAAAUUUAAAAACACAAUGAUGGAAAGCAAAGGAAGCACAAACUUUUACCUUUAAGGAUUUUCCUUUCUUCUUCUCUCCACAAUUAUUUUCAUAUUCUCACUUGAGUGGCUUCCUACAAAACUUUUAUGCAGGACCUUAACAUUAACUUGUCUAAUUUUCCUUCACAUUUUACUGGCAGUCUAUCUGGAAAAAGAGCAUUAUUCAGCAAAACUGAAUCUCCACUGAGGUCAGCAGCGGACACAACCUUUUUUCAGACCCUCAGCCUCGGUCCCUCUGCUUCACAUGACAAAAUAUAUGAGCAGGGAAGCGUCAGCAGAGAGGGAGGGAGCAUCUUUAAGUCAUCCUUGUCUUUGGAAUGGCCUCCUUCAUGGCACAGUAACAGAUAAUAUUUUUAAAAUCACUAACCAUUGCCUCUACAGAGAACCUUCCAUUUGUCAGCUCAUGAGGCAGAAGGUCCAGCUGUUCUUUGCUGGUUAAGUUGGAGUUCAAGUAACUAAGUUUCCAAAGAUUUUCAAUACAGUUUGCAAUAAUUAAACGACAGAAGGUAAACUAGACAGUAAAAGUGAUCCAGGGACUGUGGAGUUAGGUCAGCAUGAGAAAAACUCACCUUUUUCUGAUAAACAUGUCUCAUGCAGCCUUAAGAAAAUAACAGCCCUGUGGUGUCCUGUUUGGCAAAACUGGACAAAUAUUCAUUCUGUGUUUGGUAAGAAACUUUAAAGAAUGGAUAAAUGCAUCAAGGAUGUGAAGAUUUUACAUUCAGGGGUGAUGUACACAACUUGCAGUACAGUUACUGUUGCAAGAGGGCUUUUUGAACUUCAUGAGUUUUGAUCGCCUCACGCUCUCACUUGAAAUAAACUGUUUUUCAAGCACAAUGUAAUUUUAUCAUCUUCAUAAUAUUGGUUUGAUACUCCCUCAGCAUUUAUCUGAAAUAAAAGAGAAGGAUGUAGAAGAGGAAGGUGAAAAUAUACAUAGAUGCAUUCCUAACCGACUGUCACAGCUCCUGAAUUAGAUUCUCAGCCGACAGAGCUACAGGGUAACUGCAUUACAGUUAAUGUAAAUCUUCUGAUUGACACCAGCUGACAAUCCAGACCUAUCUACUAAAAUCAGGUACCAGAUAUUUCUUAGUGCUUUUUCAAUGGACUAUGAUAUCUACCAUGUUUUCCUCGCUUAUUCAUUACAAGUUGUAACAAUAAAAUGUGCUUUAGCUGUGUCCUAGCUUUCCUGAAUUUAAGUUUGCUUAUUGUAAUAUCAUUUUUAUGUCACAACUAGACUGCAGAUCGAAAGGCAGACUGUGUCAAGGGAAUUUGGUGUUUUACAUUUAGAAGGAACAUUUAAUGAAUUACGCUGCCCCCAGAUAACCCCUAUUUCAUUUGUAUAUAAUGCUCAGGGCUAAGGAUUGUCUUUCUGAUCCUUCUUACAUGUUAGGCAGUAUGUUUCAAGAGUGGUCACAUUACUGCUCCCAUCAUUACUUCAGACCCAAACUUGCAAGUGCUGAGUGCAAUAACUCCCACAGAGGACAAAAAAAUUGCUUUAAUACAACAAUAAUCUUAAAUUUAUCAAAGGCAGAAAGCUCAAAGUAAAAUUAAAUGUAUGACUUUUUUCUUUGCAUGCCUAGUGGUCAGCAUAUAUUAUGUAAACAUGACCUUUCAGUAAGUUAAGUGUUUAGUGCUUUUUAUAUUAAAAACUAAUUGCUAGAUUUCAAACUUGAAGUACCUAAAACAUUAGACUGCCUAUAAAUAUUCUGUCCCCUUAAUCCCUGGAGGAAUUACUGACUCAAGCCCCUUCAGCUGGGCUUGUCGCUUUGUAGUUUUGCAUCUUCAGGAGGGGAAGCAGAGAUGUGAAUUCAGGUUCAGGCUGGAAAAGGCCUAGGAAUAAUGCACCAAAUGGUGCAGUGCUAAUUGAAAUGCCAUUAGUCUUAGGAGGAAACCAUCUGACUACUUAACGGCCAUGCAAGGUAUAAAUAAAACAAAUGACUAAUCAGGCAUCAAGCUCCGUGGUGCAAGUUUGUUGCCUGAUGAGAUUUCCCCAGUCUGCUCUGCCAAGGCACUGGUAUCGCUGGCUCCAUGCACUGUAGAAAGAAGCACUUCUCCCUCUGCCACAAGGCAGCUGUCAGCAGCCUCUGGAAAUGGAGCUUUACCUCUGACACACUUCACACUGUAUGUCCCUAUUUUAUGCUUCCAUUUUGGUUGUUUUAGAAUACCUUCAUGAUUGUUAGCAUACAAAUGCAGCAUGUAUUUGUUCAUAUGGGGCAAAUAUGGGACAGGACAACCUUAGCUAUACGUACAGACUGAGGGGCAAGAGGCUGGAGAACAGCCCCAUGGAAAGGGAUUCGGGGGUUCUGACUGACGGCAAGGCGUAUCUGAGUGAGGUAAAGUAGGUGGGUGAAAGCCAUUGUGUCUCCUGCCUCAGAGACUGAUUAGCCAUAGCUACAAGGCCUUCAAGGGACUAGAUCCUCACCUCAGCUGUGUAGUAUAGCUAGUACAUGGAGUCCCCCACUGCAACUACACAUCUCUAUAAAAUGAGUAAAAUUCACUAAUUUAUUUUAUGUACAAAAUGCCAUAUAGUCAUCCACAGCACUCCUGAAGUCACAUAAGGACUGUAUUUGCAAUCCGAUUUCUAUCCCACCCAGAGGUACAGUGAAGCAGCAGACUGUGGAACAGUGUGUUCAAACACUGAAAGCCUAACUAAGCCUCAGCUAGGAAAAACUGGCAUAACUUCAGUGACUACAAUAAGAACUAUUGCAGACUGUGGUAAUUUAAUUACCUGAGGACCUGUCCCGUGUUUCCUCAGACAGCUCUAAGCACUUCUUCUGUUGUUUUUUUUAGUGUGGUUUGUUAUUUGUAUGAAUCAGAACUAGAAGAGAAGAAGAAUCAGUGAUUUCAGAAGGCUUUGGAUCAUGCUCCAGGAGUUCUCAUUUGAACCAGUGGCAAAUGGAUCUGGUGUAGGGUGGAGGUCUGGGCCUGUAGCAGUGCAUUUUCUUAGGAUUUCUUGUUCCAUGGGAUUCUGUGCAAUCACUAAGUAUUUCCAGUUGAUAUGGUAAUGUUAAGUAGAAAACUCCAAAUAUUAUAAUAGGAAAGGAAUGCUUUCCUGCAGCACUAGUGCUUUUCUUCCAUGUGUUUUCCACUUACAAUCUCUCUUUGGUAGACCUGCAAAAUAAGAUUCUUUGACCAGCAGCACUUGCUUUUGCUCCAAGGCAGAAAGCACAAGACUGAACCAGAAUGCACUGUGUUGACCAUACAGAGUCCAAAUGUUAUAAAAUACAGAAGCAAGGCAAGCCGUGGAAUAGAAAUAGACAAAACAUUCUGAAGAUCCUGAGUUUCUCUUCCCCUAAGGACCUUUUCAUAUUUUUUGCACAUCAAACAAACAUCAAUCUGAUGUAUUGGAAUAGAGCAUUUGACACCAGUGUCAGUGGAGGAUGUAAAGCAAUACUGCCAGUACCAGCAGAGGAAGAUGUCUUUGCUACAGCAAAGUGUAUAUGCUGGAUGGCAAACAGCUGUUCUUCAGUAUCAGCAAUGGUACAUGAAAGAACAUGAAGGUACAUACAAGUCUUUAGGUUUUUCCUCAUUUAUAUUAAUACUGAACUGGGUGGCUGCUCUAAAGGUGGGAAUUCACGGUGCCCAUAAAACAAUUCAUAUUAGGGAAAGGUAUUUUUCUGACACAAGGAGACUGGCUGAAAAAGAUGCCUGGCAUUCCUGAAAUUUUCCACCUUCCUAGUCCUAACCAAGAGCAGAUGAAAUUGUUAUGAAGGUUUCAGCAAUGCCAUGGCUCCUGUGGCAGAGAGUCUCAGUGUUAUGUAGUAUGUUACCUUGAAUUCAGCCUCAUGGGUUGUUCCUGCUAUUAGGUAUAUCACUUAUACAUAGUCCAAGACCUGGGUACUUAGAACAGAGGUGAACAUGUAUCAGUCAGAUAAAUAGCAGUCUUGUCUGUGUAUACUCCAUUACUCCAAAACUGGGUUUGUUGCUCAUCAGAAGACAAGCUUAGUUUGCAAGUAUGAAAUAGUAUUCACAUUAGUGUUGUUUAUUCUUCAUCUGGAGAGAUUCCUAAUGAGGACUAAAGAUCAAUCAUUUUAAGCCUGUGAGCUAUAAGACUAUCAGCCUGACCUAUAGUAGCUUGAAACUUAACUGUGUUUUCUACAUACUCUUAAACUACCUGAAUUCCUUUAAUAAUGCAAAGGAAUCAAUCACAUUCUGUUAGCUCUCUGUUAGGUGUUCAACGUAUUAUUCACUGAAAACAUGGUCUCCAGGUUGCAUAUACAUUCUCAGUCUAUUCAUUGUUCUCUUUACCUAAGGAUGAUGGUACACCAUCCUAAGGCCUUAAAGGAUAUGUAUUAAA